rnacentral:rRNA from 1 species
AGAGUUUGAUCAUGGCUCAGGACGAACGCUGGCGGCGUGCUUAACACAUGCAAGUCGAACGGUGACGGUCAAGCUUGCUUGGUCUGAUCAGUGGCGAACGGGUGAGUAACACGUGAGUAACCUGCCCCAGACUCUGGGAUAACCCCGGGAAACCGGAGCUAAUACCGGAUAUGACACCAGCUCGCAUGGGCAUGGUGUGGAAAGUUUUUCGGUCUGGGAUGGACUCGCGGCCUAUCAGCUUGUUGGUGAGGUAGUGGCUCACCAAGGCGACGACGGGUAGCCGGCCUGAGAGGGCGACCGGCCACACUGGGACUGAGACACGGCCCAGACUCCUACGGGAGGCAGCAGUGGGGAAUAUUGCACAAUGGGCGGAAGCCUGAUGCAGCGACGCCGCGUGAGGGAUGACGGCCUUCGGGUUGUAAACCUCUUUCAGCAGGGAAGAAGCGCAAGUGACGGUACCUGCAGAAGAAGCACCGGCUAACUACGUGCCAGCAGCCGCGGUAAUUC